rnacentral:siRNA from 1 species
ACAGAUGACAAGAUGCAGUAAAC